UGUGAUUUUUUAAUUGAGAUUCUGAGUGACAUUUUUGUUUAAUUGCAGAAAGAUCCUUCUGUGUCGAGGAAUCAACUAGCGACGUUACUUCUAUCUGUAUCUCAAGAAAAUGAGGUUUCUCCUAGCAGUGACAAGGAAAUUACGAAGAAGCUCAUACAUGAGGUGUAGUGAAGGUAAAAGAUGAUAAAGAUGAGUCCCCAACUUAUGUUGCUAUGCUUGCAGCCCAAGAUGAUGCAACACGGUGCAAGGUUAUCUGCUAAACUUACCUCUGCAACUCUGAAUGUUAUCCAACUGGAGUUUGGCGUCGUUGGUAUUUUUCUCCGUCUGUGUGGAUUAGGGUGCAGUUUGGCUAUCAUGGAUUCUGG